rnacentral:rRNA from 1 species
AGUGAACGCUGGCGGUAGGCCUAACACAUGCAAGUCGAACGGCAGCACAGUAAGAGCUUGCUCUUACGGGUGGCGAGUGGCGGACGGGUGAGGAAUACAUCGGAAUCUACUUUUUCGUGGGGGAUAACGUAGGGAAACUUACGCUAAUACCGCAUACGACCUACGGGUGAAAGCAGGGGAUCUUCGGACCUUGCGCGAUUGAAUGAGCCGAUGUCGGAUUAGCUAGUUGGCGGGGUAAAGGCCCACCAAGGCGACGAACCGUAGCUGGUCUGAGAGGAUGAUCAGCCACACUGGAACUGAGACACGGUCCAGACUCCUACGGGAGGCGGCAGUGGGGAAUAUUGGACAAUGGGCGCAAGCCUGAUCCAGCCAUACCGCGUGGGUGAAGAAGGCCUUCGGGUUGUAAAGCCCUUUUGUUGGGAAAGAAAAGCAGCAGGUUAAUACCCCGCUGUUCUGACGGUACCCAAAGAAUAAGCACCGGCUAACUUCGUG